CACGUAGGGUGCAAGCGUUGUCCGGAUUCAUUGGGCGUAAAGGGCGUGUAGGCGGGAAGGAUAGUCAGAUGUGAAAGCCCUGGGCUCAACCCAGGAACUGCAUUUGAAACUCCCUUCUUGAGUGUCGGAGAGGAAAGCGGAAUUCCUGGUGUAGAGGUGAAAUGCGUAGAGAUCGGGAGGAACACCAAUGGCGAAGGCAGCUCGCUGGGACGGUACUGACGCUGAGACGCGAAAGCGUGGGAGCAAACAGG
rnacentral:rRNA from 1 species